CAUGGAAGCUAGUGAUGUGGGGGUUCUCUCAUAACCCUCAGUCCCCAGGUGGGUAGAUGGCAGGUUGAAUAAAGAGAAGCUAGUGAUGUGGGGGUUCUCUCAUAACCCUCAGUCCCCAGGUGGGUAGAUGGCAGGUUGAAUAAAGAGAAGCUAGUGAUGUGGGGGUUCUCUCAUAACCCUCAGUCCCCAGGUGGGUAGAUGGCAGGUUGAAUAAAUAGAAAACAAUAGGCUACAUAAAACAAUCCAUAAAUGUAUAACUAUUAUGUAAUUUACACAAAACAUUAAGGACACCUUUCUUUCCAUGACAAACUGACCAGGUGUAACUCAAUAUUAGGAAGGUAUCCUUAAUAUUUUGUCCACUCAGUGGCUCUGACCCUUUACAUAACAGUCAAUCCUCUUUUCCAGGAAACCUUCUUUAAAUUUCCCCAAAUACUUCCACAUUGAUACUCUCUCACUGCUGCUCCAGGGCCUCUUGGGUUGAGGAGUCAUUCUCUUCUAACCUGAUCACAGCUGCUCCAGG
rnacentral:lncRNA from 1 species